rnacentral:rRNA from 1 species
UACGGGGGGGGUAAGCGUUGUUCGGAAUUACUGGGCGUAAAGGGCUCGUAGGCGGCCAACUAAGUCAGACGUGAAAUCCCUCAGCUUAACUGGGGAACUGCGUCUGAUACUGGAUGGCUUGGAUUCGGGAGAGGAAUGCGGAAUUCCAGGUGUAGCGGUGAAAUGCGUAGAUAUCAGGAGGAACACCAACGGCGAAGGCAGCUCGCUGGGACGGUACUGACGCUAAGGCGCGAAAGCGUGGGGAGCGAACAGG